rnacentral:lncRNA from 1 species
CUUGGGGAUGUGUCCAGGACACUCAGGCAGACUGGUCCAUCAGAAGCCUCCUGCUCUACUUUGACCCCCUAGACCACUCCAUGUGGGCCUCUGGGAGGGCGCUGACUACCGUCUGUCUUGGGUGCAGUGUUCAUUGUAUUUGAUUCAAUUCAGCCUGAUUCUCUUCAGUCCAGCAGUGUUAGACCCUGCGCCAGACGCUGAAUGACACAUGACUCCUGCCCUCUGGAGCCUGGAGACUGGAUGGGACCGUUUUUAAUGAUCUUCUCGUGCUCUGCCUUGCUGCUGCUCCUCAGGCUCCAGUGGACCCAGGAGGUUUCAGACGAGGAAGCUUAGCAAGACAGCUGUGUGCCCAGGUGGACAGGCUGCAGGACUAGGUGUGUUAGCAUCAGACCAUCAUUCCCUCUUCCUGUCCCCGGGUCUCAGGAUUGCAGGGACCUGUCACUGCCUGACAUAUCGUAUGUGUUUAAUCGGUGUGGAGGAGAGGAAGGAGAGACCAUUACCGGAGGAUCUCCAUCAGGUCCUGCCCCUAUCUUUACCAGUACGUGGUCUAGGAUAAGCUACUUCUCUGAGCCUCAGUGUCUAGAACAGGGGAUGGUAUCACCCGACUCUUCCAGUGGAUGAAACAUUGACCACUAUGUUGGCUUGGUUGGUGCAGAACCCCAAGUCCAGUCUGCAGAGGGGGU